GACGAACGCUGGCGGCGUGCCUAAAACAUGCAAGUCGAACGGUGAAGGGGACUUCGGUUCCCGGAUCAGUGGCGUACGGGUGAGUAACACGUGAGAAAUCUGCCGUGCUGUGGGGGAUACCCAUUGGAAACGAUGGUUAAUACCGCAUAGUGCGCCGGGACCUCCUGGUUCUGGCGGGAAAGCCGUAAGGCGCAGUACGAGGAUCUCGCGUCCUAUCAGCUAGUUGGUGAGGUAACGGCUCACCAAGGCGACGACGGGUAGCCGGCCUGAGAGGGUGAGCGCGCACACUGGGACUGAGACACGGCCCAGACUCCUACGGGGGGCAGGAGUUGGGAAUCUUGCGCAAUGGGGGAAACCCUGACGCAGCGCCGCCGCGUGCGGGAUGACGGUCUUCGGAUUGUAAACCGCUUUUUUCGGGGACGAUAAUGACGGUACCCGAGGAAUAAGCCCCGGCUAACUCCGUGCCAGCAGCCGCCGUAAUAC
rnacentral:rRNA from 1 species